UGAUCUUUAGUCAACUCUUGUCUGCAUCUAGCUGUUCUAGGGUGUGAUCAUUAGUCCAGACUCUUGCCUGCAUCUAGCUGUUCUAGGGGUGUGAUCAUUAUUCCAGACUCUUGCCUGCAUCUAGCUGUUCUAGGGUGUGAUCAUAAUGUCCAAACACAUGCAAACAAGAGUUUCAAAUAACCAUAACCGCUGCACACAGUCAACAUCAUUAUCAAUGUCACCAUAUUGGCUAACAUCAUAGUUAAUAUCGCUCCCUAGAACUAAUGAGUUAGUAUAAUAAUACAAGGAAUAUAGCUCUCUGCAGAUUCUCAAGUGGAAUAAAUUAAUUUGUUCAUAACUAUUCAACUAAUGUCUCUCUCUCUUUGAGUCAACCACAUUUUAAUGCAUUGCAGUGCUAGCUAGCUGGAGUUUAUUGCAUUCAGUACUAGAUUCAUUCUCUGAUCCUUUGAUUAGGUGGACAACAUGUCAGUUCCGUGACGCUACCUUACAGAGUGCUGUUGAGGCUACUGUAGACCUUCGUUGCAAAACAUUUUUAAUCGGGUUAUUUGGUGACGUGAAUAUAUUUACUAUCGUUUUUUUUCUGAACUAAAAAAAAAAAAAACGUGUUUCAUUAUUUUCAAUUUUUCUGAAAUUCACUGAGUAGGAUGGUCUUAGGAGCUACUCUACUGGUUUACACACCUACUCAGGCGCUUGUGGUUGGAGCAGGUCUGAAUUUGUCUUUAGAGUCAUUAACCUGUUUGUGUGUGUGUGUGCCAGUUUAGGAUGUGUUGGUUCUGAAUGGUGUGUUAUUUAGAGAACUGGUUGUGUGUGUGUGUGUGUUAUUUAGAGAACUGGUAACUGGUGUGUGUGUGUGUGUGUUAUUUAGAGAACUGGUUGUGUGUGUGUGUGUGUUAUUUAGAGAACUGGUUGUGUGUGUGUGUGUGUUAUUUAGAGAACUGGCUGUGUGUGUGUGUGUGUUAUUUAGAGAACUGGCUGUGUGUCAUUUAGAUUGCUGGGUGUGUGUGUGUGUGUGUUAUUUAGAGAACUGGCUGUGUGUGUGUG
ensembl:lncRNA